AAAGGAAUAGACGGGGGCCCGCACAAGCGGAGGAACAUGUGGUUUAAUUCGAUGAUACGCGAGGAACCUUACCCGGGCUUGAAAUGCAUCUGACGAAUUAGGAAACUAAUUUUCUAGCAAUAGCAGAUGUGUAGGUGCUGCAUGGUUGUCGUCAGCUCGUGCCGUGAGGUGUCGGCUUAAGUGCCAUAACGAGCGCAACCCUCAUCAUUAGUUGCUAACAGGUCAAGCUGAGGACUCUAAUGAGACUGCCACCGUAAGGUGUGAGGAAGGUGGGGAUGACGUCAAAUCAGCACGGCCCUUAUGUCCGGGGCGACACACGUGUUACAAUGGGGGGUACAACGGGCAGCUACCACGCGAGUGGAUGCUAAUCUCUAAAAGCCUCUCUCAGUUCGGAUCGGAGUCUGCAACUCGACUCCGUGAAGCUGGAUUCGCUAGUAAUCGCGCAUCAGCCAUGGCGCGGUGAAUACGUUCCCGGGCCUUGUACACACCGCCCGU
rnacentral:rRNA from 1 species